rnacentral:misc_RNA from 1 species
GCUUUGCAUACAUCUACAAGUGAUCUGUAAAAAAAGUUUUCAUUAGUCAUUGCUUCCACUAGGAGAAAAUUGCUGAUGACUGUAUGCUAAAAAAUUUAAAAAGCAUGAGAGGAUGUCUGAAAUUCUCAAAGCUGGGUUAGCUGUGAAUGGUGAACAGAUUUUAAAACUUGCUUUUCUCAUUUGAUAAUUAAUUAUGUGGUUCAAAAUUUAGUAAUUGUUUCCCCUAGAGUUAGGGUGGGGAAGUUGCACUUUUGGUCCAAGGAUUAAUUUAAUCAUAAUCAGACUGAACUAGUUCUUUAAUUUAUAAACACUCAUUCUUUUUACGUGGGAGUUGAUGUAACUCUUGUAGUUGCAAAAUCUGUGUGAUCAUCGGGUUUAUCGAUGUCAUCUGUGACAAACGUGUGUGCACUGCACUGAUUGUCGCAAACACAUGCUUGAAUUUUUAGUUUAAUUCCUUUUAUUUUUCUCUUUUUUUUCCUAUUGCAUUUCAGGCA